GAUGAAGAACGCAGCGAAAUGCGAUAAGUAGUGUGAAUUGCAGAAUUCAGUGAAUCAUCGAAUCUUUGAACGCACAUUGCGCCCUUUGGUAUUCCUUAGGGCAUGCCUGUUCGAGCGUCAUUCGAAACCUCAAGCUCAGCUUGGUGUUGGGUGUCUGUCCCCGCCUCCGCGGGGACUCGCCUCAAAAUCAUUGGCGGCCGGUACGUUGGCUUCGAGCGCAGCAGAAACGCGAACUCGAGGCCCGGCGGAUCGGCGACCAGAAGUCUCUUCUUCACAGUUUGACCUCGGAUCAGGUAGGGAUACCCGCUGAACUUAAGCAUAUCAAUAAGCGGAGGA
rnacentral:misc_RNA from 1 species